CAUAUCUCUCCGUACGGGAAGGAUGAGAAGCUUCGACUAAGGUUCGAUUCGAGCGCAGCGAGAACGCGUUGCCGCAGGCAACGACCCGAAGGGCGAAGCGCGNAAUCUCCCGGCAGCGCCU
rnacentral:sRNA from 1 species